ACAGCAUUCUUACUUGCAGCUACAUAGCCCCACCAACAUUGCUAGGCUGAGCAGGACCAACCGACCAUCUGCCUGGUCAUGCAAUGUGCAAGAAAAAAUAAGAAGAAUGUGCUGGAAGGUCAGAGCGCUAACCAUCUAAGGCGAUGAUGGGUAGGCGCCAAGGCCCAGGGACAUAGAAGUGUUCUGUAAAGGAGUCCCAAGUCUCCAUUGGUACUGCAUCACCAACCUAAGGAUUGACUGAAGCCCAGGGAGAUGACCUCACUACCCAUCACCAGAAGAGACUCUCAAACCCAGCUGCCCCUUCAGAGCUGACUCCUGGCAUAAGGAUGCCCUGAUCUGGGCACAGCCCCAGAAACCUAUCCCUGGACUCUGUCCGUUGACCACAGGAAGAGCUCCAGUUGAGUCAAAGGGGAGUCUGGCUAGUGGUAGGGCUGCAGGAUCCAGCUUAAUCCCCUUACUCAUCUAAAAGGUCACUGAAGGGGCAGCGGCCUUAAGGGGCAGAUCAUCAGUGUUGACUACAAGUUCAAAGAAUCCACAGAAAGCCACACAGUGCCCCCUGGCUCCAACCUCAGAAAUGGAGCCGACCCUGACUCAGAGAGGAAACAAAGGCUGACUCACUCACCCUCCACUUCCUCCUUUUGCCCAGCUCAGCCAAGACCAGCACUGGCUUCCAGCGACAGACAGGUGACCACUACUUGCAAACCUGCAAGGGGGAGCACAGGCUCACUCUGCCAAGGACCACCAGACCUCGAUUUACUACUGCCCUCACCCUCUGUAUCUUCCACACAGUGCAUGGCUGGUAAUGGCGCUGUCCUGUCUUGUCCUGCCUUGACCUUGGCUGUGUUAUUCUUCACUUCCCUGUUCAGCGCACAGCCACACUUUCCAAACAUCAUGAAUCAUCAGUACAGAGCAACGGCCACUUAGUAAAGCAGGAAACCACUGCACGCCAGGCCUGGACAGAGCAGUUCCCUGCUCUGGCCUCUCCUGUCCCCUGAUCACUGUGACACAAAGCCACAGUGGAGGUCCCAGGGACUAUUGCACCACUGGGUAUUCAACCCCUACACCAUCAGCCCUUAUACUGGGCAGGAUCUUCCUAGCUGAGCCUUCCCUGCCUGAGCUGGCUAAAGUGAAGCUGGUAUCUUCCAGUCUCAGAGGGAGGGAAAGAGGUCAGGUCAUUCAAAACCCUGGCUGUUAGAAAGACUGUAUCCGGUAGACAGCAGAGCCAUCAAACAGACAUGGGGCUUCCUCUUGCAGCCUUGCAGUUAUGAACAAAGGUUGCCUCUGUCAUCAAAGCCCCUGCAGACUAGACCCCCUCUGAAUAACAUGCAGCAAGUUCCCAAAGAAUGGACACCAAUGAAGCCCAUACAUCAAUCAACAACAGGGACUGAUGAAAUGGCUUAGUGUUAACAAACUUGGGGAUCCAAGUUCUAAUCCCCAGAGCCCACAUAAGAAGUAAGUGAAGCACAGCUCCCGGUUCUGGGGAGACACACUGGGAGAGUCUGUGCUUGCUGACAUCUGCUCUCUCCAAUCUGUGAGCUCAAGUGCAGUGAGAGACCCUGUCUCAAAAGGUAAGGUGGAGAGGUGACUGAAGACACCACCCAUGUGGAGCCAUGUCUUCCCUGUAUGUAUGCACACAUAAUCAUGUUAAAAAAUGAAGACAGCAUGAACAUGAAGUUUCUCUGACAGGUCAUGUCUAUCCAAGAUGACCUCUUGUGCUCUCUGUCCCAUGGUCUAGACUUUGAUUAUUUUUCUGAGUUCCAUGGAGGAAUCACACAUGGCUACAUUCUCUUAAGGAGCCUCCAUUCGGUGACAGCUGGAUGGAUCAGGACAGAUGACCAGGGUCAAGGGUAGAGACAGGCAUGGCAGACCUUCCUCCUCAAAUACCAAAUAUCCAAUAUAGUAAUCAAAUCCCAGAUCGCAGACAUUAUGGAAUUAACUAAAUUAGCCGCUGCAGACCAUGGUUCUGGAUAGCCAAACAGAUCCAAGUGUCUUAAAAAUAUAUAAAUCACAAUGUUCUAGCCCUUCACAUCCGGAAACACAUUUUAGACCCUUGGAGAUAAUAGAAGUAUCGCCUGAAAACAAAACAAAACAACCUGUUUCUAGAGCUGGAGAAAGAGUUCAGUGGCUAAGAGUACUGGCUGCUCAUAGAAGACCCAAAUCUGGUUCUCAAGACCUACAGAGAGGCUCACAAGCAUCUACAACCCCGGUUCCACGGAGUCUUCUUCUCACCUCCACAGGUGCCCAGCAUGCACAUGGUGCACAUACACAUAUGUAGACAAAAAACUCAUACACAUAAGCUAAAAAUAAAUUUUUUAAAAAUCCUGAUAUCUCAUCAGACAUCUGGGAGAACCAAGGUCCAGAUGACUUCCCGAAGGUCACACAAGGUAAAGCAGAGCCAAGAGAGCUCACAGCCUCUGGCUGGUAACUUAAGGUUGUUUUUAUUUAUCAUAACUGUCAUUGCAGUGGGUGAAUAAUCUAGGAGCCAAAUCAGAUGUCCUUCACACCCUCUGAAGCUACUCUUAGGAUGAGCCAGAAUGUUCUGCAUCAACCCACGCAUGUGAGAGGAUCUACCAAGUUACCUGAUAUCAGGUAUAGUUACCUGAUACCUUAGUCAGAAGGUCAUCAACUUCUUCAACAGAAGUUAUGCAUUUAGGUGCCACCAUAUUUUCAAAGGAGUCCUUUACACAG
rnacentral:lncRNA from 1 species